CUAACGUCCGUCGUGAAGAGGGAAACAACCCAGACCGCCAGCUAAGGUCCCAAAGUCAUGGUUAAGUGGGAAACGAUGUGGGAAGGCCCAGACAGCCAGGAUGUUGGCUUAGAAGCAGCCAUCAUUUAAAGAAAGCGUAAUAGCUCACUGGUCGAGUCGGCCUGCGCGGAAGAUGUAACGGGGCUAAACCAUGCACCGAAGCUGCGGCAGCGACACUAUGUGUUGUUGGGUA
rnacentral:rRNA from 1 species